GUACUCACUUCAGCACCACACACAGUGAAAUAGGAAUGAUAGAGAGAAGAUUAGUACGGCCCCUGUGCAAGGAUGACAUGCAAAUUCGUGAAGUGUUCCAUAUUUCA
ensembl:snRNA U6 U6 spliceosomal RNA